GUCGGUUAGGUAUUUCGUCAAACACCACAUGAGCAUAAGAAAUUUUAGCUAAUCUCUCGCUCAAUUGAUGUAAAGCAGCACCCAAAAUUAUCAGAAAUCCCAAGAAAAUCCAACCAAAUCAACACAUAAAACACGUAUAAUCAUAAAAUUAUGGGCCAUCAACAGGGGAAACGCAACAACCAAGUCAUGGCAGACCCAUUUGAAAAACUUUCCAAAACUUGUGAUCAAGGAAAAAAAAUGAAAUACAAAUGAAAGGGAUAACUUACGGUGGACUGCUAGCGGCGGUGCUCUUCUGGCAGCAGGACUGGAGGCAGUCGGGGAUGGCGGUGUCCUUGAGAUCGACUGAGAUAGGCAGAGUAAGCCUUAGCGUUUGAUUAUAGGGGGUUUUCCGGCGGCUUGGGGGGGGCUUAAGCCCCCACCAGCCCCCCCUUAAAUCCGUGGCUGAUUGCACAACCACAAGGGAAAAGCAGGGAGCUACAGCAUGCCAUCUUAGCAAAAACAAAACCCAACCUCUAGGAUAAUUACCAAAAACUUCAACUACCCAACUCUGGUAAACAAAAUUUCUGGGAUAAGAACAACGCAAAACGCAAGCAAAAAUCAUCUUCAAAGCAGGACUUUCGGUUAGGCAUUUCGUCGAACAGCAAAUAGGCACUAAAAUUUCACCGACUUUUUUUGCUCAAUUAAGGUCAUUUUCAGCCCCAAAAGUUUGCCAGAAACACAGCAAACAGUCCAAUUAACACAUAUAGCAUGCGUAUUAAAAAAUCAUGAACAAACAACCGAAAAUUGCAACCAAACACAGUCACGGCAGCCUGUUUCAAAGGCUUGAACAAAACUGAAGUUUUAAAGAAGAAAAGACAGCUUACCGUGCUCUUGCUUGAUGAAAAUUGGCCGGUGAUGAUGGUGGAUUCGGUGAAGUGGCGGCGCUGGCGGUGGUCGACGGCAGUGGUGAUUCUGGUUCUUACUCUCCUCUGCCUCCGUUUUGAUUUUUCCCUAGCCCGAAGCUUCUUUCUUCCUCUUGUUCUGGUUCCUGCUCUUGUCUUCCUCUCAGAAACUCCCCGAAGUUCUCCCUUUCACUUUCGCGUCUCCCUUUUCUCUAACCCUAGCAGUCCAUUUUCCUCUUAGUUUUCUGCUUUGUUCCGCCGCCCCUUGUCUUUCCUUUGCUUUGUUUCUUUAGCCCAAACCUGCUCUCAGCCUCUCACCUGUUUUCCCACCGAAGCCCCUCUCGUUCUCUCCUUUUUCUUCUCGCUUGUUCCUCCAGCCCUCUGUUUCCCCUGCGUUUUUGGCUCUUUUUUCCUCCUCGUGCCCGUCAGCCGCGCACCGCUCUUUUUUACUUUUUCUCUGUUUUUUGUUUCCGUGAGCUUCCCCUCGUCUUUUCCUCGUUCACUCACCGAAGCCCUCGCUCCUCAGCCCUCAGCCGCUAAACUUCACCAUAUCUUUUUUUCCUUUCAAUCUUCUCUUCAUUUUCUUUAGACUCCGAUGAAGCACCUCCUUUUUUUCCGUUUUUUUCGUUGUUCCACGGUUCCUUUCAUCCGCCACCCCCUUGGUUUUCUUUACUGCGCUGUUUUUUCCAGCCGCCUCCCCUUCGUCGGUUCUCUCCUUUCUUUUGUUCUCUUCGGCCACCAAACCAGGUGUCCCCCCUACUCAGCCGCCAAACCUCCUCUUUGUCUGCUUUUUUUUUCAGACCGCCGUUGCCCUUUUCUCUCUUUCUUUUCUUUCAAAAUAUCUAUCCUACAAGUUCUAGACACCGUCACCAAUCUAGGUGAAGGUGAGGUGUUGUCAAAUGCAAAAGGGAUCACUGAUCUCUAUCCAUGAUCCCCAUUUGUCAUUAUUUUUUUUGCUUUUUUCUUAUUCUCCUUUUUUUUAGUACGAACAAAAAUAAAAUAAUAAAAUAAAAUGAAUUCAAGAGCAAAUUAAAGAUACAAAUCAAAUAAAAACUAAAAAUAAAAGCCCCUAAGAAUGAAUACAAAUAAACCUAUUAAAUUAUUUAAACCAAAAAUAAAAUUAAAAAAAAACAAAUAAUUUGGUAGUCUACACAGUUUCAAUAAAAUAAUCAUUUUCCGCAACAUGUUGAGACCAAUCAAUCAUGUUUUUUUUUUAUUUUUAAUGUUUGAAGGCAUCAGAUUUCUUAUUGCAUAGUAUUAUUCUUCUAUUUUUAGUACAAAAACACAAAUUUUCCGUCAAUAUAUGUGCAAAAUUUGUUGAAUUAGCAUAUAAGUGAAAAUAAUACUUUUAUAAUUGCAAAAUAUUAGGCGCCUGCAAUUUUUUAUAAUUGCAGCACUAAAGUACAUCAUAAUGAAAAAUAACGAACAGUCAAUUCUAUGGUUAAACAAGACUUUUAUUAAAAAUAAUCAAAUGUAUUAAUACGACAUUUUGUUAAGUCAAAGAUCAAAGAAAUUUAGUGUAUGAAUAUGUUAGUCACUAAUAUUAUUUCAAGAUUAUAAUGACAAAGAAAGUCAAUCAUACAAUUAAAUGCUAGUUUUUAAUAUAUGUCGAAUUGGCUAGUUUUUGAAUAACUUUUGUGAACAAUAUUUAAUGGUUUGAGAAUUUUGUUCACAUUACUGCAAGUGAUAUAAAUGUAGCUUUGUUCUUUCUUUCAACAUUUAUUUUAAUGUUUAAUUUUGUUAAAAAAUUAUGUACUAGUGAUAGAUUUGGCAAGACAACUACUUAGCUUCAAUAGUUAAAAAAUUCAUUACAGAGAAAACACAAAGUAGUAGUUGCAAAAUGUGUAUAAAUUACAGAUAUUUUGUUAAUUGCUUUGUAGUACUUUGUUAUUCCUUUGCUAAUACUACUUGGCAUGUAGUACAAAGGAUAAAUCUGCCAUAAAUUUCUUAUUCCAUUGAUAAAAAGACCUGCCUGCCUUAUAACUAUUGUAAUGAAAGAUAUAUCUUUAGAAUUUAUAACAGAUUAUUACUUAAGUUUGAGAAAAUUAUAAAAUAUUUAUGCAUAGUUUAUCAAGAUACCAUUCGCAAUUUCCUAAUAAAAAAUAGGGGCUAAAUUGUAAAAGCUAGGGUGCCAUAAUAGAAAUAAUAAAAUUGGUGUAUUACAUAUGGGGGUUAAAUUGCAAAAGUUAGAGUGCCAUAGUAGAAUUAAUGAAAUUGGUGAAUUACAUAUGGGGCUAAAUUACAAAAGUUAGGGAGUAAUAAUAGAAUUAAUGAAAUCGGUGUACUACAUAUGGGGCUAAAUUGAAAAAGUUAAGGUAUCAUAAUGGAAUUAAUGAAAUUUAUUACAACAUUUGGGGCUAAAUCGCAAAAGUUAGGGUGGCACAGUAGAAUUAAUGAAAGUGACUUAGAAAUAAGUACUUUAAACAGUGACGAUUAAUUCUUGUCACUAAAUCCGAAUCGGUAGAGUGACAGUGACGAUAUUAGAAGUUGUCACUAUAUAGAUCAUUUUAGUGACAACUUUUUCAAGGUUGUCACUGAAGACUUAGUUGCUUUGAGCAAUUAUGACAACUUUCCUUGUCGUCACUAAAUAACCACUUUUUGUGACGACUUUUGUCGUCACUAAAAAAUGUUGUCACUAAUGACCAUAUUUCUUGCAAUGUAGUUUGUGACGAAAAUAACGGGUCGUCACUAAACAUUUAGUUGCUUUGAUGCAAUUGUGACAACUUUAGGUGUCGCGACUAAAGAAACCCCUUUUGUGACGACUUAUUGUCAUCACUAGAGAAUGUUGUCACUAAUAACCUUUUUUUUAGUGAUCAGUGACGACAACAAAAAGUUGUCCGUAACUAGGCCAAGCAAUAGUGAUGAUGUUUUUAAUGUCGUCACUAUUGUGUGUUCCAAACACUCCCGCACUCUUGCUAAAUCUUGGCGGGAAUUUACUAGUGACGACUUUUCUAAGUUGUCACAAAUGAGUUGGCUCCCAUUAGAGGUUUGUGACGAGUUAGAAAGUCAAAUAUUACCCUUUUGUUGCAAGAUCAAAUCAGAAAAUCUGGUUUGGUGACAGCUAGCAAAAACAAAGGGGUAGCAGUGGUUUUCAAAAUAACAAAACAAAAAUGCAGCGAAAAUGUUUAACUCUUGUUUGAAGUGCCGAACCAAAACAUUCAAGAAAACAUGCUAAAGAUCAGAUCUUGAAUUUGAACAAAAUACUAAACAUGCUAAUCCAACACCACUUAUCUAAUCCACCUUUUCAAUAUAAGACCAAUCAGCAGGUUGGAUGGCUGAAACUUGGUGAGCAAUUGCAGAAAAAAGAAAACAGCAAAGAGGACUGCAAAAAUUUUAUUCUGCUGCAGAUUUGAUGCUCAUCAAAAUGCAACCAAAAUGGCUUAGAGCUCUGCCAUAACUUCAAACAAACUCACAAGAUAAAAAUCUUAGGCACAACCAUAAUCUUGCAAUAAAAACUCAGUAUUCACAGCAAAACAGCCUCGCAGAUCAUCGGAUGAAGGAAACUAACAGCUUUCAUUCAAAAAUGGCAGAAAUGAAACAACAAUAGCCAAACUGAAAAACAUAUUCUACUAAAGGGAAAUUGAUACGGGUCAACUUAUUCACAUGCUAAGUGUAGAAUCCUUUGAAAAGAACAUACAAAGCCAUGAGAAACUUUUCUUUUGAGCAACAAAUAUUCUCUGCAAUAAUUUUAUUCCCAACCGUGGCUUUCUUCUAAUUCAUCAUUUCAAAUCUAUUGCACAACCACAAGGGAAAAGCAGGGAGCUACAGCAUACCAUCAAAACCCAACCUCUUGCAUAAUUGCCAAAAACGUCAACUACCCAACUCUAGUAAACAAAAUUUCUGGGAUAAGAACACGCAAAAUGCAAGCAAAAUCGUCUUCAAGCAAGACUGUCGGUUAGGUAUUUCGUCAAACACCACAUGAGCAUAAGAAAUUUUAGCUAAUCUCUCGCUCAAUUGAUGUAAAGCAGCACCCAAAAUUAUCAGAAAUCCCAAGAAAAUCCAACCAAAUCAACACAUAAAACACGUAUAAUCAUAAAAUUAUGGGCCAUCAACAGGGGAAACGCAACAACCAAGUCAUGGCAGACCCAUUUGAAAAACUUUCCAAAACUUGUGAUCAAGGAAAAAAAAUGAAAUACAAAUGAAAGGGAUAACUUACGGUGGACUGCUAGCGGCGGUGCUCUUCUGGCAGCAGGACUGGAGGCAGUCGGGGAUGGCGGUGUCCUUGAGAUCGACUGAGAUAGGCAGAGUAAGCCUUAGCGUUUGAUUAUAGGGGGUUUUCCGGCGGCUUGGGGGGGGCUUAAGCCCCCACCAGCCCCCCCUUAAAUCCGUGGCUGAUUGCACAACCACAAGGGAAAAGCAGGGAGCUACAGCAUGCCAUCUUAGCAAAAACAAAACCCAACCUCUAGCAUAAUUACCAAAAACUUCAACUACCCAACUCUGGUAAACAAAAUUUCUGGGAUAAGAACAACGCAAAACGCAAGCAAAAAUCAUCUUCAAAGCAGGACUUUCGGUUAGGCAUUUCGUCGAACAGCAAAUAGGCACCAAAAUUUCACCGACUUUUUUUGCUCAAUUAAGGUCAUUUUCAGCCCCAAAAGUUUGCCAGAAACACAGCAAACAGUCCAAUUAACACAUAUAGCAUGCGUAUUAAAAAAUCAUGAACAAACAACCGAAAAUUGCAACCAAACACAGUCACGGCAGCCUGUUUCAAAGGCUUGAACAAAACUGAAGUUUUAAAGAAGAAAAGACAGCUUACCGUGCUCUUGCUUGAUGAAAAUUGGCCGGUGAUGAUGGUGGAUUCGGUGAAGUGGCGGCGCUGGCGGUGGUCGACGGCAGUGGUGAUUCUGGUUCUUACUCUCCUCUGCCUCCGUUUUGAUUUUUCCCUAGCCCGAAGCUUCUUUCUUCCUCUUGUUCUGGUUCCUGCUCUUGUCUUCCUCUCAGAAACUCCCCGAAGUUCUCCCUUUCACUUUCGCGUCUCCCUUUUCUCUAACCCUAGCAGUCCAUUUUCCUCUUAGUUUUCUGCUUUGUUCCGCCGCCCCUUGUCUUUCCUUUGCUUUGUUCUUUUUAGCCCAAACCUCUCUCGGCCUUCUCUGUUUUUCCCCACCGAAGCCCCCCUCUCGGUUCUCUCCUUUUUCUUCUCCUUGUUCUCAGCCCCUCUGUU
rnacentral:lncRNA from 1 species